AUGGGCAAAAAGCACUUCGCUGAUGCCAUAGAUUGCUGCACGAGAGCAAUAAAUCAGCAAGCUUUGAGUGACUCUGACACCUCUCUUCUCUUUUCAAAUAGGGUCCAUGUCAAUCUUUUACUUGGUAAUUACAGACGUGCUCUUACUGAUGCUGAGGACUCAAUUAAGCCCCGUUCCAUUAAUGUCAAGGCUCUGUGCCGAGCUUCCAAAGCGUAUUUUGCAUUGAACUUGUUGCCUGAAUCAACUUUGCAUUGCCAAAAUGGGCUUAAGCAUGACCCAAGUAACGAAGAGAUAAAGAAGCUGUUAAGGCAAAUUGAGUCAAAGAAGAUGGAACAUGAACAGCGUGAGGCUCAAGUUUCCAAGGCUAUAUCAGAGGCUAAGGCUCAUGUUUAUUUCUUUGUUGAAACUAUGCAGGACCUUGUUUCCACGAUCGAAAGUAGAGGACUGAAAAUUGGGAAGGUCAUUUUAUUUGGUUCUGGGGUCAUUGAUUUUGCAGGCUCUGGUGUUUUUCACUUGGUUGGAGGCUAGCAGGCUUGUGGGGUGCUCUUAUUGAAGGCCCACGCAUAGGCCGGUUCAAUCGUGAAGGUAGGUCUGUGGCUAUGCGUGGACAUAGCGGCACAUUGGUUGUUUUGGGGACAUUUCUUCUUUGGUUUGGUUGGUAUGGCUUCAAUGCAGGCUCAUUCCUCAACAUUCUCAAGGCCUAUGGGGAGAGCUGAUCCUAUUAUGGACAAUGGAGUGCAAUAGGAAGAACUGCAGUGACAACCACAAUGGCUGGAUGCUCAGCAGCACUGACUACUCUCUUUGGGAAGCGCUUGCUCUCCGGUCAUUGGAACCUCACCGACGUUUGCAAUGGCUUGCUUGGUGGGUUUGCAGCAAUCACCUCUGGUUGCUCAGUUGUUGAUCCUUGGGCUGCAAUCAUUUGUGGGUUCGUGGCAGCUUGGGUUUUGAUGGGAUGCAACAAGCUUUCUGAGAAGUUGAGGUAUGAUGAUCCAUUGGAAGCAGCACAGCUUCAUGGAGGGUGUGGCUCAUGGGGAAUUAUAUUCACUGCAUUGUUUGCCAAAAAGGCUUAUGUGGGAGAAGUCUAUUCAGGGCAACCAAACAGGCCAUAUGGGCUUUUGAUGGGAGGAGGUGGAAAGCUCUUGGCUGCACAUUUGGUUCAGAUUGUGGUGAUUGUAGGGUUUGUGAGCUUGACAAUGGGAACAUUGUUUUUCUUGCUGCACAAGUUGAAGCUCUUGAGGAUUUCAUCAGAGGAGGAGAUGGCAGGAAUGGAUGUGACCAGUCAUGAUGGAUUGGCGUAUGUAUAUACCGACGAAUGCAACGAUCCGGCAAUGCUCAAACCUGGAUUCGUGGUCUCAAGGACAGGCCCUCCUUCAUUAGCUGUUUGAUUUGAGUUUUGAUGUUCCUACCCCCCUUGAAUUUAAACUGUAAUGUAGUUUGGUUAGGUACUUUUAAUUGAUGAAAUAUGUAGACCAGUUCACAUUGCAAAUGUUUCUCAAUAUUCCAUUAGUAGUUUCUUUGGUUUCAAA